rnacentral:pre_miRNA from 1 species
UAAGUACUCCCUCCGUCCGGAAAUACUUGUCAGAGGAAUGGAUGUAUCUAGACAUAUUUUAGUUUUGGAUACAUCUAUUUUUAUCCAUUUCUCCGACAAGUAUUUUCGGACGGAGGGAGUAUUAA